UACGGAGGGGGCUAGCGUUGUUCGGAAUUACUGGGCGUAAAGCGCGCGUAGGCGGAUCUGCAAGUCGGGGGUGAAAUCCCGAGGCUCAACCUCGGAACUGCCUUCGAUACUGCGGGUCUCGAGUCCGGGAGAGGUGAGUGGAAUUCCUAGUGUAGAGGUGAAAUUCGUAGAUAUUAGGAAGAACACCAGUGGCGAAGGCGGCUCACUGGCCCGGUACUGACGCUGAGGCGCGAAAGCGUGGGGAGCAAACGGG
rnacentral:rRNA from 1 species